AGGGUACCCUUCACAUGUGUUGGCCUGGUGUCAGCUCAUUCCUCCCUUAUGGGUUGAGGAGCUAACCUAAUGGAAGGAAAGGGCUGAAAGGCCCACAUGUGAUUGUGGAGAGAAGUAGCUAGGGUUGGAGGGGAGCCCCCUGAGGCCACAGGGGUGCUUCAGGAUAAAGCUGUGGAAGUGUUUGAGGCUAGGAACUGGAGAAGAAAGGAGAGGGAGCUCUGAGGAGGGUAGGAAGUGGUCAUAGAGGUAAGAGGAUACUGGGGGCUGGAGAGAUGGAUAGGCUGCAGAUGGUCCCACUGUCCAUCUGUGAACAUCUCUUACAACUCUAUCUCUGGUAGUUGCAUCUGCCCUCCCCCACCCCAUCACACCCUGUGCAAUGGUGUCCAUUUGCUCAACAAUGCCCCAUCACCUUUCCUUGCAGCCUGUAAAUUCUGAAUCUCCUGUGUUCAAAACUGUGUCUCAGAAUUACCCAGUGCCUGGCCCAAGGGACCCCCUGGAGCCCAUGUUUUCUUCUUUGAAGGAACAUAAGGAUGGAACCCUUGCACAGUGGGCUCACUGAGACCUCCAGAGAGAAUCUCUCUAAAGAGGGAAGUAACAUGGUCGUGUUCAUCUAGAGCUCCCAGAACUGGAACCCAGUCUGCGUCCCUCAUCUAACCAGAGGCAGGAACAUGCUAACAAGAGCUGGGUGAAGGUCCCACGUCCACUGGAUUCCCAUGCCAACUAUGCGCCAGUCUAUACCUGGCAGGAUAUCUGCAAACAACUGGGGACUGGUGAAGGCUCCUAUUGCUCUCCUGAGGCAGCAGGGCAGGACCCAGAAGACUUGAAGCCAAAACCUCAGUUUCCACACUCACUUCUGGAACAUGGGACAAACCACUUAAUUUCUCUGAACUGCCACCAUCUGUAAAUGUAAUUUUGACAGGUCCCCUGUCAUUGAUGCUGACCAGAUAGAAAAGCAAGCCGGGAAGUGCCCUAUGGGUGGGGACACUGGGCAGAGGUUGAAAUGUCAUUCUCACCGGAUACUGGCGCAUCUUUCUGCACACCCUUUGUUUCUUACCUUUCCGUCAUGGCCACCUGCUCCAGCAUAGCAGAGCCUGUAUUAGCUUUCCAGUUUCCAGAGAUGGAGGUUCUCCUGGGUUAGAACAAACCACACUUCAAGGACAUUAUAGAGAUUUCUAUCACUAAUCUGCUUUCCUUCUUUGCUUUUAUGGUUAGGAGAUGUUGUUUCAAAUAUGUGGCCCAAAUUAUAUAUAGCAUGUACUUUUAUAUUUGUGU